UUUAGCUAAUGGGUUGAGUGAGUGAGAGGGCAGUAGGGCUUCAGAGGGAAAAGACAGAAGCAGAGAAACAAGACUUAGGAAAGAAGUGGACAGAUGGCCGUAGCAGUGAUCAUCAUCACUUGUGCGGUUCUAUCAAUCUACCUAUGCAUUUCUACGCCACCUCUCACCAGAGUGCUUGCCUCCUGUUCUCCCUAAGCAAUGAGGUUAAUAUUGAAGGUGAUCACAAUGAUUCUCUUCCUGUUUCCAUGGUGUGUCCAUGGGCUUUGAGAUAUGCCACCCUGUCCACUACUCAACACAGUGACGUGGGAUGGAAGGAAUUAUCUCUAAAUCAUGGAUUCAUUCAGGGAAAGCAAUGCCCUUCGUCCUUGAAAAACAGUUAACAACGGGCACCAUUGGAGCACACCUGGAGUCUCUGUGCAUAUGGAACCGAUAAGAACUUCUCAGCAGUCCCCGAAGACUCUUUAAAAUCACCUUAGACCUGAGAAAGAAACUAAAGGAAGAUGCUUAACUAUCACCGUCAUGCCCAAGGCACUUUCGCUACUUGCUACUUUAAUUUGCAGAAAGAAAGAAAAAAGAAAACUCUACAGCUUUAUUAUAUGCAGCACAUAGACUAUUAUCUCUUGAUAAUAACCUUAAAUAAAUGCCAAACACAGAGGUCUAAAAUUAUUCCUUAGCUCAUGUCUCACUUACUUUCUAUGUGAUGACUCUGUGAUUGACUAAAAAUAAUAAAAAUAAUAAAACAUA